GAUGAACGCUGGCGGCGUGCCUAAUACAUGCAAGUCGAGCGAACGGACGAGAAGCUUGCUUCUCUGAUGUUAGCGGCGGACGGGUGAGUAACACGUGGAUAACCUACCUAUAAGACUGGGAUAACUUCGGGAAACCGGAGCUAAUACCGGAUAAUAUUUUGAACCGCAUGGUUCAAAAGUGAAAGACGGUCUUGCUGUCACUUAUAGAUGGAUCCGCGCUGCAUUAGCUAGUUGGUAAGGUAACGGCUUACCAAGGCAACGAUGCAUAGCCGACCUGAGAGGGUGAUCGGCCACACUGGAACUGAGACACGGUCCAGACUCCUACGGGAGGCAGCAGUAGGGAAUCUUCCGCAAUGGGCGAAAGCCUGACGGAGCAACGCCGCGUGAGUGAUGAAGGUCUUCGGAUCGUAAAACUCUGUUAUUAGGGAAGAACAUAUGUGUAAGUAACUGUGCACAUCUUGACGGUACCUAAUCAGAAAGCCACGGCUAACUACGUGCCAGCAGCCGCGGUAAUACGUAGGUGGCAAGCGUUAUCCGGAAUUAUUGGGCGUAAAGCGCGCGUAGGCGGUUUUUUAAGUCUGAUGUGAAAGCCCACGGCUCAACCGUGGAGGGUCAUUGGAAACUGGAAAACUUGAGUGCAGAAGAGGAAAGUGGAAUUCCAUGUGUAGCGGUGAAAUGCGCAGAGAUAUGGAGGAACACCAGUGGCGAAGGCGACUCUCUGGUCUGUAACUGACGCUGAUGUGCGAAAGCGUGGGGAUCAAACAGGAUUAGAUACCCUGGUAGUCCACGCCGUAAACGAUGAGUGCUAAGUGUUAGGGGGUUUCCGCCCCUUAGUGCUGCAGCUAACGCAUUAAGCACUCCGCCUGGGGAGUACGACCGCAAGGUUGAAACUCAAAGGAAUUGACGGGGACCCGCACAAGCGGUGGAGCAUGUGGUUUAAUUCGAAGCAACGCGAAGAACCUUACCAAAUCUUGACAUCCUUUGACAACUCUAGAGAUAGAGCCUUCCCCUUCGGGGGACAAAGUGACAGGUGGUGCAUGGUUGUCGUCAGCUCGUGCCGUGAGAUGUUGGGUUAAGUCCCGCAACGAGCGCAACCCUUAAGCUUAGUUGCCAUCAUUAAGUUGGGCACUCUAAGUUGACUGCCGGUGACAAACCGGAGGAAGGUGGGGAUGACGUCAAAUCAUCAUGCCCCUUAUGAUUUGGGCUACACACGUGCUACAAUGGACAAUACAAAGGGCAGCGAAACCGCGAGGUCAAGCAAAUCCCAUAAAGUUGUUCUCAGUUCGGAUUGUAGUCUGCAACUCGACUACAUGAAGCUGGAAUCGCUAGUAAUCGUAGAUCAGCAUGCUACGGUGAAUACGUUCCCGGGUCU
rnacentral:rRNA from 1 species